CGUAUUGGCUUGCAUACGCUCUAUAAUGCAGUCGAGCGGACAGAAGGGAGCUUGCUCCCGGAUGUUAGCGGCGGACGGGUGAGUAACACGUGGGUAACCUGCCUGUAAGACUGGGAUAACUCCGGGAAACCGGAGCUAAUACCGGAUAGUUCCUUGAACCGCAUGGUUCAAGGAUGAAAGACGGUUUCGGCUGUCACUUACAGAUGGACCCGCGGCGCAUUAGCUAGUUGGUGAGGUAACGGCUCACCAAGGCGACGAUGCGUAGCCGACCUGAGAGGGUGAUCGGCCACACUGGGACUGAGACACGGCCCAGACUCCUACGGGAGGCAGCAGUAGGGAAUCUUCCGCAAUGGACGAAAGUCUGACGGAGCAACGCCGCGUGAGUGAUGAAGGUUUUCGGAUCGUAAAGCUCUGUUGUUAGGGAAGAACAA
rnacentral:rRNA from 1 species